AACGUGCAAGGUUCCGCCAACCCUUCGUCAAGCCCGCGCCCCCUCCGCCUCGUCUCCUCCCUGCUCCCUCCUCUCCCACGUCAUUACCCUCGAGCCCGCGCCCCCUCCACCUCGUCUCCUCUCCAACGUCGCCGCCCUUGAUGCGCCGUGAGCCCAGCAGAAGCCCACUCCUAACCCUAUUCGCUCGAUUGAAGACCAGGGCAACGGAUUGGAUCGAGGGCGCCCGCAUGGCCUAGCCACCGCUGCCGCCUGGAUUGGCUAGCCGCGGCGUGGAGUCACCCUGGCCGCCGCCUCGAGUCACCUCAGUCGCCGCCGCGAGUCAGCUCCACCGUUGCCGCCACUAAUCUCGUCCAGACAAGGAACGAAUGUUCUAGGGUUGGAGCAGAGGGGGUUGAGCAGCAGUUGAGCUUAGGCAUGAAUUUACAGAUUCAAGAUUUUCUUACACAUGGGGCUUAUUCUCGUAAUGUUUCUAGGCUCAUAUCAGGUCGCUUUGGAGGCUGAUAUCAGGUGGCUACUCAUGUCUGGCUUGGUGGCUUGGUGGCUUGGUGCCUAUAUUUUGGAUGUUCCAUUAAUCUUGGCUGCUUUUCUCAUCCGUUUUGGGCUUUAAUCUUGGAUCUAGAAGGUUGCAGCUUCUUUGUUCUCCUACUCAAGAUUUGCUCAUUGUUCAGUUCAAGCCAUGUUCUUCAGGUAUCUUCCUUUACAUUUUCUUUACGCGAUGGUUAGUUGAUCUAGCCAAGGGCUUCUCUAUUGUUCUUGGUUUAUUGGAAUAUGUUUUGCUUGGCUAACAAAAUAGUAAGCACGUGUGUGAGAUUACUUGUCGGUAAAUCUAACAUAAGAUUCUACCUUUAAUUCCAGUCUAUUUUUAACUCUCACAAGCUCUUUUUGCUGUUAUGCGUUGCUGGAAGUUUGGACUUGCAAAGAGAACAAUUGAAAACUUGACCACUACAAUUAUAUUUACCGACUAUAAUGGUAACUGGGGGAUAAGCAUCCUAAGACAUUUGUACCAAACAUGAUUUGAAAAUCCUUGGGCGUGCCUAUAUGUUCUCUCUAUUUUAGAGUAUGAUGCUCUCAACAAUUUGAAGAAUCAACAUGUAAAUCAAUUUAUAAGUAUAAAACCUUGUGAGCUGGAUCUCCAUUUUCAAUUGUCGGCUUUUCUUAAACAUUCAUACUUUUGAAAGCUUCUAUAAAACUAUCCAUGGAUCACUCGGCAGCCCUGAGCAAGUGCAUGGAUAGCCCUAUACUCCAAUAAGAUAUUAUAAGAACGCAACUAAAAGGAAAAUAACAUCUCUCCAGAAACAGAAUUUUCCUCAAAUCAUUUCUCGAGAUGCCCAUGUAACCUAUGUUGCGCUUAUGACUGAAUCGUCUUUUCUUCAAGACUAGCAUGGUAUCAGCCUUUGGCAUCUUUAAUCUUCAAUGUAGAAGAUCAAAUUUGAUUGUAUCAAACACAAAUGAACACAAUAAAAAAGUUGAUGGUAAAAUUGUUCAGUGUCUGCCAUAUUAUAUGUGUUAUAAGUGAUAGUAGAAACUAAUAAUGAAUUCUAUCUACAUUCAAUGAACUAUGGAGAACAUGUGCUUGGGAGGGGAUUUGGAAAGAACAGUUACGACGAGUGCUUGUUUUACUUAAUAAUUUUCAAGCCCUUGUUCAUAGCUCUGUGUAGUGUGUACACACUAACCAAAGGAGGAUCACAUUUUGUUAUUCUUUUUUAAAAUAAUUAUGAGUGAGUUGCAUUCUGUUGGUUCACUAAUCUCACCUUACUGAUUAUUUCCAUAUACAGAAAUAAACCCUUUUGGUCAUUGUAGAUGUGUACUGUUGUAACAAUGCAUGUUAGCUACAGAUGUUAUCUAAUUCUUUUUAUAAAUCUUGACUGAAUCGAGAUAUCUUCUCUAGGAAAAUCAUUUUUUCUUCACUUCCAAGGCCAGCGUCACUCAACUUUGCUUGGAGCAUGCUUAUUUGUUUCGACAUUGCCUUUGCUUAAUAUUUUCUCUUGAUUUCCUAUGUUGAUAUCGACUGAUCUGUUGUGUUGGCAAUUUCUCGCCACUGGCCCAUUAUAACUGUUAUUGGUCAUGCACCUGGUGCAGUUCUAAUUUGGGAUUGUGCUUGCUGAAUGCCCUCAUUUUUUUACUACCUUCCGUUGGUGUAUAUGCAAGCUGUAGAGGUUUGUUGUUCAAUCUGGUUAUAACUUUAUUCUCC